UUCCGUAAGGGGGACCUGCGGAGGGAUCAUUACCGAGUUUACAACUCCCAAACCCAAUGUGAACGUUACCAAACUGUUGCCUCGGCGGGAUCUCUGCCCCGGGUGCGUCGCAGCCCCGGACCAAGGCGCCCGCCGGAGGACCAACCAAAACUCUUAUUGUAUACCCCCUCGCGGGUUUUUUUAUAAUCUGAGCCUUCUCGGCGCCUCUCGUAGGCGUUUCGAAAAUGAAUCAAAACUUUCAACAACGGAUCUCUUGGUUCUGGCAUCGAUGAAGAACGCAGCGAAAUGCGAUAAGUAAUGUGAAUUGCAGAAUUCAGUGAAUCAUCGAAUCUUUGAACGCACAUUGCGCCCGCCAGUAUUCUGGCGGGCAUGCCUGUCCGAGCGUCAUUUCAACCCUCGAACCCCUCCGGGGGGUCGGCGUUGGGGAUCGGCCCUGCCUUGGCGGUGGCCGUCUCCGAAAUACAGUGGCGGUCUCGCCGCAGCCUCUCCUGCGCAGUAGUUUGCACACUCGCAUCGGGAGCGCGGCGCGUCCACAGCCGUUAAACACCCAACUUCUGAAAUGUUGACCUCGGAUCAGGUAGGAAUACCCGCUGAACUUAAGCAUAUCUAA
rnacentral:rRNA from 1 species